CUGUCCUACGGGAGGCAGCAGUGGGGAAUAUUGCACAAUGGGGGAAACCCUGAUGCAGCGACGCCGCGUGAGUGAAGAAGUAUUUCGGUAUGUAAAGCUCUAUCAGCAGGGAAGAAAUAAAGUCCUUCGGACUUUGGACGGUACCUGACUAAGAAGCCCCGGCUAACUACGUGCCAGCAGCCGCGGUAAUACGUAGGGGGCAAGCGUUAUCCGGAUUUACUGGGUGUAAAGGGAGCGUAGACGGCGAUACAAGUCUGAAGUGAAAGCCCGGGGCUCAACCCCGGGACUGCUUUGGAAACUGUGUU
rnacentral:rRNA from 1 species